UUUUCCUCAGUCCCCAUGUCUACUUUUUCCCUUCCCAUGAGCUUCACAGAACGCUGAGUCUCAGACUGUGUGUGUCCCGGUUUUGUUUUUGUUUUUUUAAAGCCCCCUAGGAUGAGUGAUUUUCUUGGGUGGGAAAAGAAGGGUGUGGAAGCAGCAUAAAUCCAAGUGGUCAGAAACUGCAAACCAAGGCUGUGAGCAAACAGCGGGGAGAUCAGCCCAGCCUCAGCCCAGCCUAGCCCAGCCUGGCCUUAGGAACACCUCAACAGUCCCCAGGGAGAGGAGACAAAGGAGCGAUUCUUUUUCCACCCUGGGCUGGCUCCUUUUCAGAGGACAAGCUCCUGCUCUCUCUGCCUCUGAGAUAUCUUUUCUGCUCCCUCUCCCAGGCAUCAGACCAAGAAAAACAUGCUCACAGGAUUAGCCCCUAGGCACUUCUUCUGACCUGGCUCAAGAAAGGAAGGAGACCCGUUUGUUUGAGAAAUCAGGAACAAAGUGUCAGGUGGCUGUGAUUUAUGGCAGAAAUAGGAAGAAGAAAGUUGAAAUAGCAUCCCUACCCAAACAAUCCUGCCCUGGAAAGCAGGGGUCAAGAGGGUUUAUCAAAAGCCUGGAGCCCUUCCUGGUGGUACAUGCCUGUGAUCUUAGCACUCCAGAGGCUGAGGCAGGCAAAUGAGGAGUUGGAGGCCAGCCUGGGCCACAAGCCAGGUCCUGUAAAAUAAAACAAAUAACAGCUUUGUACAGGUAAGAUUUUCUGAUUUCCUGUGUGAAAUAGGAAGGAGAGAAGCUAAAGAGCUAUGGAGUUGGACUGGCGUUAGCUGUGUUCCUAGAGGUGGCUUGGUAUGCGUUUACAGGGCAAAGAGCAAACGCCAUUUUAAGAAAGAAAGAAAAAGAAGAAGGGAAAAGAGGAAAGCUGCCUGGUCAUGGAGUUUCUCUCCUUCCAACAAGAUCCCAGCCGCAUAUCCUAUAACUAUGGACAGUUAUCCUAUGGUAAUUACAAAGAUUCCUGUGCUCGUAAAGACUUGUCUGGUUUCCAGUCAUAAACUCUGUGUAAGGCCCCAGCCUCUGCUCCCCCUCCCUUCUUGCCUGCAAUGGCCAAGAGCAGAGCAGCACCAGGACUCCUCUAUCUGGGCCACCCUCCCCACAGCAAUGCAGCUUGCACAGCAAGGGUCAGCCACAGGGGAGAGACCCACACCCUGCCUAUCACUGACCCACAGUGAGGAUGUGUCUCUGGUGUCAACAAAGCUGUGUGCCCCCUGUGCUCUCUCAUCUAUUCUGGGACUGUUCCAGUGCUGUUUACCAAGGACAGGUCUUGAUCUAGCCAUGCAGGGGGAAGCUGGCUGGACCUUGUUAAGCUGGCUCCCAGUAGAAGAGUGAGUGCUCCCAUUAUACAUGCAGAUAUUUGUUCCCUCUCUCUGAGAGUGUAGUGACUUUCAGUGCUGUUAAUCUCUGGUUGUUUACAUGACAACAGUAUGGUGUUAUGAAGUCAGUCUCCCUCCUGGAAGGGAGUCCAUGCCAAGGAUGUCUUCUUGUACAUCGGUUUUAUUGACCAGUAGCUUUGACCAAUCCUGUUAACUGGUGUAUGUCUGCACAAACCCAUUUCAAAUAAAUGUCUGGCUAAAGCAGAAGA
rnacentral:lncRNA from 1 species